AGAGUUUGAUCCUGGCUCAGAGCGAACGCUGGCGGCAGGCCUAACACAUGCAAGUCGAACGGACCCUUCGGGGUUAGUGGCGGACGGGUGAGUAACACGUGGGAACGUGCCUUUUGGUUCGGAAUAGCUCCUGGAAACGGGUGGUAAUGCCGAAUGUGCCCUUCGGGGGAAAGAUUUAUCGCCAUUAGAGCGGCCCGCGUCUGAUUAGCUAGUUGGUGAGGUAAAGGCUCACCAAGGCUACGAUCAGUAGCUGGUCUGAGAGGAUGACCAGCCACAUUGGGACUGAGACACGGCCCAAACUCCUACGGGAGGCAGCAGUGGGGAAUCUUGCGCAAUGGGCGAAAGCCUGACGCAGCCAUGCCGCGUGUAUGAUGAAGGUCUUAGGAUUGUAAAAUACUUUCACCGGUGAAGAUAAUGACUGUAGCCGGAGAAGAAGCCCCGGCUAACUUCGUGCCAGCAGCCGCGGUAAUAC
rnacentral:rRNA from 1 species